GCCGCGGUGAUGGAAUCGGCAGACAUACAGGUUUCAAAAACCUGCGAGCGCAAGCUCAUGGGAGUUCGACUCUCCCCCGCGGCA
rfam:Candidatus Yanofskybacteria bacterium RIFCSPHIGHO2_02_FTLL_41_11 rifcsphigho2_02_scaffold_2789, whole genome shotgun sequence.